rnacentral:rRNA from 1 species
AUUGAACGCUGGCGGCAGGCCUAACACAUGCAAGUCGAGCGGAGCGCCGGACGGGGGCGUAAUGCCUAGGACUCUGCAUGUGAGUGGGGGAUAAGGUUCGGAAACGGGCGCUAAUACUGCAUACUAUUACCUGAGCCUAGGCCGGAUUAGGUAGUUGGUGGGGUAAAGGCCUACCAAGGCGACGAUCAUUAACUGGUCUGAGAGGAUGAUCAGUCACACUGGAACUGAGACACGGUCCAGACUCCUACGGGAGGCAGCAGUGGGGAAUAUUGGACAAUGGGCGAAAGCCUGAUGCAGCCAUGCCGCGUGUGUGAAGAAGGUCUUCGGAUUGUAAAGCACUUUAAGUUGGGAGGCGUUACCAGCAGAAGAAGCACCGGCUAACUACGUGCCAGCAGCCGCGGUAAUAC